GACGAACGCUGGUGGCGUGCUUAACACAUGCAAGUCGAACGGGAUUUAGUAAACAGAAGCCUCGGUGGAAGAUUACUAAUGAGAGUGGCGAACGGGUGAGUAACGCGUGAGCAACCUGCCUAUGACAGUGGGAUAGCCUCGGGAAACCGGGAUUAAUACCGCAUAAAAUCGUAGAAACACAUGUUUUAACGGUCAAAGAUUUAUCGGUCAUAGAUGGGCUCGCGUCUGAUUAGCUAGUUGGUGAGAUAACAGCCCACCAAGGCGACGAUCAGUAGCCGGUCUGAGAAGAUGAACGGCCACAUUGGAACUGAGACACGGUCCAAACUCCUACGGGAGGCAGCAGUGGGGAAUAUUGCACAAUGGGGGAAACCCUGAUGCAGCGACGCCGCGUGAACGAAGAAGGUAUUCGUAUCGUAAAGUUCUGUCCUAUGGGAAGAUAACGACAGUACCAUAGAAGAAAGCUCCGGCUAAAUACGUG
rnacentral:rRNA from 1 species